AUUGAAUUCUUAUUAUUUUUUGUUAAUGUAAUGUUGGCAACUCUCACCUGCGCACAGGAUUUUCCUUGCAGAUGAUUGGUUUCUUGUAUUUUUGCUGUUCAAGUGAAAUUUUUGAAUGUAUUGGUUAGUCCACGUUAUAA